AAAAUACCACAAGUCAUGAGCCAAAAGCAACAAUGGAGAAGUCCCCUGAAGAGGAGCAGGAGUCUUGUCAGUGACUGGGGAGUAACAAAGCAAGUGGAAAGAGCUGAAGGAAAGCCAGUUCUCCUGGAACCAACAGAGGAAUAAGACUGAUUAAUAAGCGUCAGAUAUAGUACAGCUUAUUUAAAAAUCUCAACUUCCAAGUAUUUUUAGAACUUGACCCCGUGACUCCCUUCAGUGAAGCUCAGAGCACUUACGGAACGGAGCGAUGAGGAAUGUGAUGAAAAAAUCCGGGACUUACUUGUGCGAUGUAACGUGAGGCAGUAUGUUUCAAGUCCGCCUUCCACGUUCCAUCUGUCCAGACUAAGUUAUCCUGGAUGUGAAGCGGAAGAGUGGCUACGUAAAUAAACUGGGGGUUGCUCUGAACACUCUGAAUAUGGAAUGGAGCCUCCCUGCCUUGGCUCUGGUCCCACCUGGUUACCUCGGAUGCCGGACACGACUACCGCAUUGUCAUCGAUGUUCCCCAGCCUUUAACUCUUCCUCCUUCAGAUGCUUCCAUGCUCUCUGUUUUCCUGUUACCUUC